UUAAAUUGAAGAGUUUGAUCAUGGCUCAGAUUGAACGCUGGCGGCAGGCCUAACACAUGCAAGUCGAACGGUAACAGGAAGCAGCUUGCUGCUUUGCUGACGAGUGGCGGACGGGUGAGUAAUGUCUGGGAAACUGCCUGAUGGAGGGGGAUAACUACUGGAAACGGUGGCUAAUACCGCAUAACGUCGCAAGACCAAAGAGGGGGACCUUCGGGCCUCUUGCCAUCAGAUGUGCCCAGAUGGGAUUAGCUAGUUGGUGAGGUAACGGCUCACCAAGGCGACGAUCCCUAGCUGGUCUGAGAGGAUGACCAGCCACACUGGAACUGAGACACGGUCCAGACUCCUACGGGAGGCAGCAGUGGGGAAUAUUGCACAAUGGGCGCAAGCCUGAUGCAGCCAUGCCGCGUGUAUGAAGAAGGCCUUCG
rnacentral:rRNA from 1 species